UACAGAGGUGGCAAGCGUUGUUCGGAUUUAUUGGGCGUAAAGGGUCCGUAGGCGGCCUUGAAAGUCGGAUGUGAAAUCCCACAGCUUAACUGUGGAACUGCAUUCGAAACUUCAAAGCUCGAGUGUGAGAGGGGCAAAGGGAAUUCCCGGUGUAAGAGUGAAAUCUGUAGAGAUCGGGAGGAACACCAGUCGCGUAGGCGCUUUGCUGGCUCACUACUGACGCUGAGGGGCGAAAGCCAGGGGAGCAAACGGGAUUAGAUACCCCGGUAGUCCUGGCCGUAAACGAUGGACACUAGGUGUUGGGAGGGUUAAACCUUUCGGUGCCGAAGCUCACGCAUUAAGUGUCCCGCCUGGGGAGUACGGUCGCAAGGCUGAA
rnacentral:rRNA from 1 species